UACCCAGGAGCUUGGGCAACCGGAUGCUACCUAAGAAGGAAGUAUCGAUGUUCUUAUGCUUUCCAGGAGGCCACUGGAGACUCCGCUGGUUAAAUCACCUUCCGUGCUGGGGUUUUUAUUUGGGGUAUCUCCCCAAGGAUCUCUUAGGCACACUCUUCAGAGGCGCUGUAAGAUGGCUAAGAAAAUUGAGUUUACUCCUCUCCCAUGACCUCACAAUUGUAAAUGAUACACGGCUGUCUGAAAAACAUGCCCCCCAACCCCAUUUUUUAAAAAAAGUGACUGACUGAAUUUUCCUCUUGCACACGUGAGAGCUCAAGCAAACAAGUUCACACGACCACAGCAGAGAGAUACUCUACGCUGCUUCUGGAACGAGGAACAAGAGGCGGAGGCGCCAUCACGCCCUGCCCGGGGGGACGCCGCACGCCAGCUGCGGAACGCCGUUCCCCAGACAACCCACCGCGGCAGCCCGGAACCGGAAGGCCUGGGCUGGAGUCCUGCUCCGCCACCGGCCCAAACCUCGGGCGGCUCCCUGAAGCCUCCCGCGCCUCAUCCGCGGAACAGGGUUACCACCAAGCGCCUUGAAGGGCACCGGAAGGCUGCCCCAGGGCGGGCGAGCUGCCCCGAUGGUUUCCUAGGGCCGCUGUAACAAGAUGCCACAGACGGGGCGGCUUCAAAGAACAGAAGUGUAUUAUCUUACACUUCCGGAGACUGCAGGCCCGAGAUCAAGGUGUGAGCAGGGCCGCCCUUUCUCCGGGUAGAAUCCUCUCUUCUUCUCUCCAGUAGUGGCUGCCAAUCCUUGGCACUCCUUGGCCUAGAGACGAGGCCCUCCAAUCUCGGCCUCCGCUGUCACAUGGUGCUCCGUGUUCAAACUUCCUUCUUCUGAGAGGGAUGCUGCUCCUGUUGGACUAGAGGCCCACCCUACUCUAUUAGGACCUUGGCCCACUUGACUAAUUACAUCAGCAGCCACCCUGUUUCCCAAUAACGUCACAUCCUGAGGUACCGGGGGCUAGAAUUUCAACACGUCUUUUGGAGGACACAGCUCGGCCGUGACACACUUGCAGGCUUAUCGGAGUGGUGGCUGCCCUCUGUGCCUCCUGUCAAUCUGUGGCUGAGGGGAGGAAACUGCCCACCAGGCCCGUUCGGUGGUUAAUAUGCUGGAGAAGUGCCCACGGUGACAGGAACAGCUUCUUCUCUUGCGGUUUUUCCUAAAAGGGGGAUUGGUUUUAUGAAAAAUGCUGUGGUUUUCAUCAGGAAGUGCCCCUAGCUAGAGCCCGCGGGACGGAGCAUUGCUCCAGCGGCAGUUAAACUGAGAGAAAUUCUUGGCUUUGUCAGGAAGGGCAGAUUUGCUGUGGGCCACAGAGGAUGUGCUUGUAUGGUUUUGUACAACACUCCUUGGGCCACCUAUUUGCAACAGCACCUAAGUCUGGAUGAUAGAAGAAACGAAGAAGAAAGAAGCGGGGGACUGAGUCCCUAUCCUUCCAUGUUCUUCCCUAGAGGAAUUCUGCCACAACUGGGGUGUUGGUGCAGAGCGGAGAACUCUCCUCUAGAAUCCCAGCUUCCUGACCAAGAAGACCAGGUGUAACGCUGACCUCAGAGAAAGAUGGACGUUGAGCAGUUCUCACUGCACCUGCUGCACCCACGCACAGUAAGGAACAGAGUCUGGGGCCCAACCAAUUAGCUCCUGAUGCAUCUAAUCGGCUACACCUUUGAAGACAGUGUUCUUUCUUCAUCUAUGUCAGGAGUUGACAACAAGAUGCUUAUGGCGUCAGGCAUGCAAGAUGAAUGAAUGAAGUUUGGGGUGGGGGGUGGAGGCCUAUAGCAAAUUGGAGAACAUCUGCUGCAUCUAAAGGGGGCAGAUGCUACUCAGCUUUAGCCAACUGUUGCCAGAUCAGGAAAUCCCUGAAUUUUAAAUGAUAGCAAAAGAAUUUUGUUUUAAAGAAGUAACAGGUCCAAAGAUACCCACAGGUCACUGUGUGAAGCCUUGGCCCUGAAGCCUGUCUCUAAACUUUAGGCAGGUGAUACCACCUUGUAGUAUACAGAGUUGACUCUCUUUCCUGAAAACACUCAUUAUGGCAGCCAGAGGUGUGGGUGGGUGGGUUUUUGGAGAGGAGACAAGGAAACAAGCAGCCACAUGACCCUGAAUAGAGCAGUACAAGAGGGGAAAAAAAAGGCUUGGUGUUUGGAAGUAGAUGAACACUGUAUUAUUCAAGACAGGUUCAGCCUGGGGCAGAAAUAGAAAAUAAGUCCUUGCCAUGUCCCUAUUCAGACUAAAUUGAACUUGAUGGUAUCCUGUCACAAGACACCUUUGAUGGAAAUGAAGAUGAUAAUCACUGAUGCCAUCCAGCAUGGUGAUUGAUAAUGUUCUCUCCUCCAAAUCUCAACAGUGUCCUUGAAUCCCAGCGAGGUGCCUGGCUUGGGCCCAACAGUCAGACUCUGGAUCCAGAGGAAGGAGCCCUAGGCUCAGUGGGUACCCCUGCUCCCAGUUUACACCCCGUAAAUACUUAUAACUUGCCUUUUGCACCAUGACCCAUUAUAUGCUCCUUGAUGGAGAACCAUGUUGUGCUCGUCCUUGAAACCCUGGCAUCCUCUGUGCCAAAGCUCAGCAGAGGAUUCGACCGGCUAAUGCAAUACUGUGUGUGGUACCCAGCAGGCCUCAAUGUUUGCUGAGCCAGCACGGGGAAAUCAGCACUUAUGGAACAUCCAUGCACCAGGUGCUUUAUCCCACUUGAUGUUUGUAAUAAAACCAGGAGGCACUGUUAUUAUCCCCCUUGUACAGAUAAAACAAAACUUUUAAAACCA